UACGCAGGGGGCUAGCGUUGCUCGGAAUCACUGGGCGUAAAGGGUGCGUAGGCGGGUCUUUAAGUCAGGGGUGAAAUCCUGGAGCUCAACUCCAUAACUGCCUUUGAUACUGAGGAUCUUGAGUUCGGGAGAGGUGAGUGGAACUGCGAGUGUAGAGGUGAAAUUCGUAGAUAUUCGCAAGAACACCGGUGGCGAAGGCGGCUCACUGGCUCGUAACUGACGCUCAUGCACGACAGCGUGGGGAUCAAACAGG
rnacentral:rRNA from 1 species